GAUGAACGCUGGCGGCGUGCCUAAUACAUGCAAGUCGAGCGAACGGACGAGAAGCUUGCUUCUCUGAUGUUAGCGGCGGACGGGUGAGUAACACGUGGAUAACCUACCUAUAAGACUGGGAUAACUUCGGGAAACCGGAGCUAAUACCGGAUAAUAUUUUGAACCGCAUGGUUCAAAAGUGAAAGACGGUCUUGCUGUCACUUAUAGAUGGAUCCGCGCUGCAUUAGCUAGUUGGUAAGGUAACGGCUUACCAAGGCAACGAUGCAUAGCCGACCUGAGAGGGUGAUCGGCCACACUGGAACUGAGACACGGUCCAGACUCCUACGGGAGGCAGCAGUAGGGAAUCUUCCGCAAUGGGCGAAAGCCUGACGGAGCAACGCCGCGUGAGUGAUGAAGGUCUUCGGAUCGUAAAACUCUGUUAUUAGGGAAGAACAUAUGUGUAAGUAACUGUGCACAUCUUGACGGUACCUAAUCAGAAAGCCACGGCUAACUACGUGCCAGCAGCCGCGGUAAUACGUAGGUGGCAAGCGUUAUCCGGAAUUAUUGGGCGUAAAGCGCGCGUAGGCGGUUUUUUAAGUCUGAUGUGAAAGCCCACGGCUCAACCGUGGAGGGUCAUUGGAAACUGGAAAACUUGAGUGCAGAAGUUGAAAGUGGAAUUCCAUGUGUAGCGGUGAAAUGCGCAGAGAUAUGGAGGAACACCAGUGGCGAAGGCGACUUUCUGGUCUGUAACUGACGCUGAUGUGCGAAAGCGUGGGGAUCAAACAGGAUUAGAUACCCUGGUAGUCCACGCCGUAAACGAUGAGUGCUAAGUGUUAGGGGGUUUCCGCCCCUUAGUGCUGCAGCUAACGCAUUAAGCACUCCGCCUGGGGAGUACGACCGCAAGGUUGAAACUCAAAGGAAUUGACGGGGACCCGCACAAGCGGUGGAGCAUGUGGUUUAAUUCGAAGCAACGCGAAGAACCUUACCAAAUCUUGACAUCCUUUGACAACUCUAGAGAUAGAGCCUUCCCCUUCGGGGGACAAAGUGACAGGUGGUGCAUGGUUGUCGUCAGCUCGUGCCGUGAGAUGUUGGGUUAAGUCCCGCAACGAGCGCAACCCUUAAGCUUAGUUGCCAUCAUUAAGUUGGGCACUCUAAGUUGACUGCCGGUGACAAACCGGAGGAAGGUGGGGAUGACGUCAAAUCAUCAUGCCCCUUAUGAUUUGGGCUACACACGUGCUACAAUGGACAAUACAAAGGGCAGCGAAACCGCGAGGUCAAGCAAAUCCCAUAAAGUUGUUCUCAGUUCGGAUUGUAGUCUGCAACUCGACUACAUGAAGCUGGAAUCGCUAGUAAUCGUAGAUCAGCAUGCUACGGUGAAUACGUUCCCGGGUCU
rnacentral:rRNA from 1 species